rnacentral:rRNA from 1 species
AUUGAACGCUGGCGGCAGGCCUAACACAUGCAAGUCGAACGGUAACAGGGAUCAGCUUGCUGAUUCGCUGACGAGUGGCGGACAGGUGAGUAAUGUCUGGGAAACUGCCUGAUGGAGGGGGAUAACUACUGGAAACGGUAGCUAAUACCGCAUAACGUCGCAAGACCAAAGAGGGGGACCUUCGGGCCUCUUGCCAUCGGAUGUGCCCAGAUGGGAUUAGCUAGUAGGUGGGGUAACGGCUCACCUAGGCGACGAUCCCUAGCUGGUCUGAGAGGAUGACCAGCCACACUGGAACUGAGACACGGUCCAGACUCCUACGGGAGGCAGCAGUGGGGAAUAUUGCACAAUGGGCGCAAGCCUGAUGCAGCCAUGCCGCGUGUAUGAAGAAGGCCUUCGGGUUGUAAAGUACUUUCAGCGGGGAGGAAGGGAGUAAAGUUAAUACCUUUGCUCAUUGACGUUACCCGCAGAAGAAGCACCGGCUAACUCCGUG